rnacentral:rRNA from 1 species
GGUUAAGCGACUAAGCGUACACGGUGGAUGCCCUGGCAGUCAGAGGCGAUGAAGGACGUGCUAAUCUGCGAAAAGCGUCGGUAAGGUGAUAUGAACCGUUAUAACCGGCGAUGUCCGAAUGGGGAAACCCAGUGCAAUUCGUUGCACUAUCGUUAACUGAAUACAUAGGUUAACGAGGCGAACCGGGGGAACUGAAACAUCUAAGUACCCCGAGGAAAAGAAAUCAACCGAGAUUCCCCCAGUAGCGGCGAGCGAACGGGGAGCAGCCCAGAGUCUGAAUCAGCUUGUGUGUUAGUGGAACGGUCUGGAAAGUCCGACGGUACAGGGUGAUAGUCCCGUACACCAAAAUGCACAGGCUGUGAACUCGAAGAGUAGGGCGGGACACGUGGUAUCCUGUCUGAAUAUGGGGGGGCCAUCCUCCAAGGCUAAAUACUCCUGACUGACCGAUAGUGAACCAGUACCGUGAGGGAAAGGCGAAAAGAACCCCGGCGAGGGGAGUGAAAAAGAACCUGAAACCGUGUACGUACAAGCAGUGGGAGCACCUUCGGGUGUGACUGCGUACCUUUUGUAUAAUGGGUCAGCGACUUAUAUUCUGUAGCAAGGUUAACCGUAUAGGGGAGCCGCAGGGAAACCGAGUCUUAACUGGGCGUUAAGUUGCAGGGUAUAGACCCGAAACCCGGUGAUCUAGCCAUGGGCAGGUUGAAGGUUGGGUAACACUAACUGGAGGACCGAACCGACUAAUGUUGAAAAAUUAGCGGAUGACUUGUGGCUGGGGGUGAAAGGCCAAUCAAACCGGGAGAUAGCUGGUUCUCCCCGAAAGCUAUUUAGGUAGCGCCUCGUGAAUUCAUCUUCGGGGGUAGAGCACUGUUUCGGCUAGGGGGUCAUCCCGACUUACCAACCCGAUGCAAACUACGAAUACCGAAGAAUGUUAUCACGGGAGACACACGGCGGGUGCUAACGUCCGUCGUGAAGAGGGAAACAACCCAGACCGCCAGCUAAGGUCCCAAAGUCAUGGUUAAGUGGGAAACGAUGUGGGAAGGCACAGACAGCCAGGAUGUUGGCUUAGAAGCAGCCAUCAUUUAAAGAAAGCGUAAUAGCUCACUGGUCGAGUCGGCCUGCGCGGAAGAUGUAACGGGGCUAAACCAUGCACCGAAGCUGCGGCAGCGACACUAUGUGUUGUUGGGUAGGGGAGCGUUCUGUAAGCCUGCGAAGGUGACCUGUGAGGGUUGCUGGAGGUAUCAGAAGUGCGAAUGCUGACAUAAGUAACGAUAAAGCGGGUGAAAAGCCCGCUCGCCGGAAGACCAAGGGUUCCUGUCCAACGUUAAUCGGGGCAGGGUGAGUCGACCCCUAAGGCGAGGCCGAAAGGCGUAGUCGAUGGGAAACAGGUUAAUAUUCCUGUACUUGGUGUUACUGCGAAGGGGGGACGGAGAAGGCUAUGUUAGCCGGGCGACGGUUGUCCCGGUUUAAGCAUGUAGGCUGGUGUCCAGGCAAAUCCGGAUAAUCAAGGCUGAGGUGUGAUGACGAGGCACUACGGUGCUGAAGUAACAAAUGCCCUGCUUCCAGGAAAAGCCUCUAAGCAUCAGGUAACAUCAAAUCGUACCCCAAACCGACACAGGUGGUCAGGUAGAGAAUACCAAGGCGCUUGAGAGAACUCGGGUGAAGGAACUAGGCAAAAUGGUGCCGUAACUUCGGGAGAAGGCACGCUGGUGUGUAGGUGAAGUCCCUGCGGAUGGAGCUGAGACCAGUCGAAGAUACCAGCUGGCUGCAACUGUUUAUUAAAAACACAGCACUGUGCAAACACGAAAGUGGACGUAUACGGUGUGACGCCUGCCCGGUGCCGGAAGGUUAAUUGAUGGGGUUAUCCGUAAGGAGAAGCUCUUGAUCGAAGCCCCGGUAAACGGCGGCCGUAACUAUAACGGUCCUAAGGUAGCGAAAUUCCUUGUCGGGUAAGUUCCGACCUGCACGAAUGGCGUAAUGAUGGCCAGGCUGUCUCCACCCGAGACUCAGUGAAAUUGAACUCGCUGUGAAGAUGCAGUGUACCCGCGGCAAGACGGAAAGACCCCGUGAACCUUUACUAUAGCUUGACACUGAACAUUGAGCCUUGAUGUGUAGGAUAGGUGGGAGGCUUUGAAGCGUGGACGCCAGUCUGCGUGGAGCCAACCUUGAAAUACCACCCUUUAAUGUUUGAUGUUCUAACGUUGGCCCCUGACCGGGGUUGCGGACAGUGUCUGGUGGGUAGUUUGACUGGGGCGGUCUCCUCCCAAAGCGUAACGGAGGAGCACGAAGGUUAGCUAAUCCUGGUCGGACAUCAGGAGGUUAGUGCAAUGGCAUAAGCUAGCUUGACUGCGAGCGUGACGGCGCGAGCAGGUGCGAAAGCAGGUCAUAGUGAUCCGGUGGUUCUGAAUGGAAGGGCCAUCGCUCAACGGAUAAAAGGUACUCCGGGGAUAACAGGCUGAUACCGCCCAAGAGUUCAUAUCGACGGCGGUGUUUGGCACCUCGAUGUCGGCUCAUCACAUCCUGGGGCUGAAGUAGGUCCCAAGGGUAUGGCUGUUCGCCAUUUAAAGUGGUACGCGAGCUGGGUUUAGAACGUCGUGAGACAGUUCGGUCCCUAUCUGCCGUGGGCGCUGGAGAAUUGAGGGGGGCUGCUUCUAGUACGAGAGGACCGGAGUGGACGCAUCACUGGUGUUCGGGUUGUCAUGCCAAUGGCACUGCCCGGUAGCUAAAUGCGGAAGAGAUAAGUGCUGAAAGCAUCUAAGCACGAAACUUGCCCCGAGAUGAGUUCUCCCUGAGACUUUAAGUCUCCUGAAGGAACGUUAAAGACGAUGACGUUGAUAGGCCGGGUGUGUAAGCGCAGCGAUGCGUUGAGCUAACCGGUACUAAUGAACCGUGAGGCUUAACCUUAC